UUAAACGUCUAUAGCGCGUUGAAUACUCAAGUUCUCGUCCGAUUACCAAAGUUAAGUAACGUAGUGCGCGAUCAGCGCUUGGAUGGGUGACCGCCUGAAAACACCGCGCGUUUCAA
rnacentral:rRNA from 1 species